GGUCUGUCAAGUCGGAUGUGAAAUCCCCGGGCUCAACCUGGGAACUGCAUUCGAAACUGGCAGGCUUGAGUCUUGUAGAGGGGGGUAGAAUUCCAGGUGUAGCGGUGAAAUGCGUAGAGAUCUGGAGGAAUACCGGUGGCGAAGGCGGCCCCCUGGACAAAGACUGACGCUCAGGUGCGAAAGCGUGGGGAGCAAACAGGAUUAGAUACCCUGGUAGUCCACGCCGUAAACGAUGUCUACUUGGAGGUUGUGCCCUUGAGGCGUGGCUUCCGGAGCUAACGCGUUAAGUAGACCGCCUGGGGAGUA
rnacentral:rRNA from 1 species